AUUGAACGCUGGCGGCAGGCCUAACACAUGCAAGUCGAGCGGAUGAAGGGAGCUUGCUCCUGGAUUCAGCGGCGGACGGGUGAGUAAUGCCUAGGAAUCUGCCUGGUUGUGGGGGAUAACGACCGGAAACGGGCGCUAAUACCGCAUACGUCCUGAGGGAGAAAGUGGGGGAUCUUCGGACCUCACGCUAUCAGAUGAGUCUAGGUCGGAUUAGCUAGUUGGUGGGGUAAAGGCCUACCAAGGCGACGAUCCGUAACUGGUCUGAGAGGAUGAUCAGUCACACUGGAACUGAGACACGGUCCAGACUCCUACGGGAGGCAACAGUGGGGAAUAUUGGACAAUGGGCGAAAGCCUGAUCCAGCCAUGCCACGUGUGUGAAGAAGGUCUUCGGAUUGUAAAGCACUUUAAGUUGGGAGGAAGGGCAGUAAGUUAAUACCUUGCUGUAUUGACGUUACCAGCAGAAUAAGCACCGGCUAACUUCGUG
rnacentral:rRNA from 1 species